rnacentral:rRNA from 1 species
UACGUAGGGGGCAAGCGUUAUCCGGAUUUAUUGGGCGUAAAGCGAGCGCAGGUGGUUUAUUAAGUCUGGUGUAAAAGGCAGUGGCUCAACCAUUGUAUGCAUUGGAAACUGGUAGACUUGAGUGCAGGAGAGGAGAGUGGAAUUCCAUGUGUAGCGGUGAAAUGCGUAGAGAUUAGGAAGAACACCAGUGGCGAAGGCGAUUCUCUGGACUGUAACUGACGCUGAGGCUCGAAAGCGUGGGGAGCAAACAGG